UGGGGAAUAUUGCGCAAUGGGGGAAACCCUGACGCAGCGACGCCGCGUGCGGGAUGAAGGUCUUCGGGUUGUAAACCGCUUAUGAUUGGGAGCAAGCUUUCGGGUGAGUGUAUCUUUCGAAUAAGCGCCGGCUAACUACGUGCCAGCAGCCGCGGUAAUACGUAGGGCGCAAGCGUUAUCCGGAAUUAUUGGGCGUAAAGAGCUUGUCGGCGGUUCGUCGCGUCUGGUGUGAAAGCGCAUGGCUUAACGGUGGGUUUGCGCCGGGUAAGGGCGGGCUAGAGUGCAGUGGGGGAGACUGGAAUUCUCGGUGUAACGGUGGAAUGUGUAGAAAUCGGGAAGAACACGAAUGGCGAAGGCAGGUCUCUGGGCAGUUACUGACGAUGAGAAGCGAAAGCGUGGGGGGCGAACAGG
rnacentral:rRNA from 1 species